rnacentral:rRNA from 1 species
CCUACGGGUGGCAGCAGUGAGGAAUAUUGGUCAAUGGGCGUAAGCCUGAACCAGCCAAGUCGCGUGAGGGAUGAAGGUUCUAUGGAUCGUAAACUUCUUUUAUAAGGGAAUAAAGUGCGGGACGUGUCCCGUUUUGUAUGUACCUUAUGAAUAAGGAUCGGCUAACUCCGUGCCAGCAGCCGCGGUAAUACGGAGGAUCCGAGCGUUAUCCGGAUUUAUUGGGUUUAAAGGGUGCGUAGGCGGCCUUGUAAGUCAGCGGUGAAAGGCUGUGGCUCAACCAUAGAAUUGCCGUUGAAACUGGGCGGCUUGAGUAUGGUUGAGGCAGGCGGAAGUCGUGGUGUAGCGGUGAAAUGCUUAGAUAUCAGGAAGAACCCCGAUGGCGAAGGCAGCCUAC